rnacentral:lncRNA from 1 species
CACAGAGCCACGAAGUGAAGACCAUAGAGUUGUUGAAGCUGAAACUUCCUACUUCCUCCUGCCUUUUAAUGUCAGCUGCGCGUGCGUGAGGUAGGUUCCGUUUCCGGAUGAUUCAGCCCAUUAGCACAUGCUUUUCUUUUGCAGCGUUGGAGGCAGCCAGGGCGUUUUGCUGUUUGCUUAGCACGGGAGAACAUGGCUUGGGAGACGAUGACUGGUGGUAGAGGUAGAGGGGGUGCGAAUGUAUAUAUAUUGUCUUCUAAAGAAAGUUCCGUUCUUGAUUUCUCUGAGUUUUUUUCUUGAGACUGAUGCAAGGGAGGCAAACGUGGGUUGCAGCUGUUGUGCUGCCAGAGGUAUAGCUUUUAAGAAUAGGAACUCUUGUUCUUACUCCUCCGCUAAUCCCCCCCUUGCUUAAUUGUCUGCUGUUAAGUCUCCAAAAGAACCCGUAUUAAUAUGCACCGGAUUGCCUCAGCUUCUGUAGAGUUUACUAGAAUGUAAAAGGCAGGUGGGAAAAGGAAAUGAAAUAUGGAAGGCGAGCUGAUCACCACCCGAAUGAAGCCGGCAGAGACUUUAUGGUGAGGCCUUGUUGUGAUCAUCCUUGUUACGUGAAGAACCGAGGUCCGGUGGGCGAAGGAAGAAACAGAUCAGCCUGGAGUCGAUGUGGUCUCUGAAAUACGCGUAUUAAGGAAGGAACUUUGCAGCAGGACAUGUGUAGGACAAGUAGUGAAGUUCCCCAGUAUGAAGCUUGUUCACAGACAAACUACAGUUAACUACUGUUUUGAGAGAAUUACUUCUUUACCCCUUCAAGGUGUUGAUAGAGCAAAAAGAAGACAGGGAAUGACUUCCUACAGGUUCAACCACAAAAGUCACUUGGUGACCUGGCCUGGGACCACUUCAUCCACCCCCCACCCACCCCGACUGUUGAAGAAUUAUUGCCUUUAUGGUGGGACUGUACCUUUUGUGGCACAGAAUACUUCCUCAGGUACAGCAGAAGUUGCCUGCACUACUGGCCAGCACACCUGAAGCAGCUGUGGAGUUGAGUGGUUAUUAGCCAGUCACCUUUGCCUGAUCUGAAACAAGAGCCAUUGGAUCAAGACUUUUUUCACUGCCUUUCAAACAGGUAGCAGCCAUCACCUCAUAUCUGUUCAGCUUCCUAGCUACUUCUGGAUUGUCGUCCACCAAAGUUGCUGAAUCUUGCUGAAUCUGGGAUGUGUUCUGUGUCCACCUGCCCUGAAAGCUGUGAUCUUUCAACAUUUGGUGGACUUCGUGAUGGGCAGCCCUAGUCUAACUCAUUUCAUAGGGUUGGUAUAAGGAAAAAAUGGAAAGAGGUGAGAAAAUAUAUACCACCCGAAGCUGGUUUGUGGGGCUGGGGGGAAUUAAUAAUCUAACAAAAGGAAACAGGGACUAAAAUCUGGAU